GCGAACGGGUUUUUAACACGUGGGUCAUCUGCCCUGCACUUCGGGAUAAGCCUGGGAAACUGGGUCUAAUACCGGAUAUGACCAAGGACUGCAUGGUUUUUGGUGGAAAGGUUUACUGGUGCAGGAUGAGCCCGCGGCCUAUCAGCUUGUUGGUGGGGUAAUGGCCUACCAAGGCGACGACGGGUAGCCGGCCUGAGAGGGCGACCGGCCACACUGGGACUGAGACACGGCCCAGACUCCUACGGGAGGCAGCAGUGGGGAAUAUUGCACAAUGGGCGAAAGCCUGAUGCAGCGACGCCGCGUGAGGGAUGACGGCCUUCGGGUUGUAAACCUCUUUCAGCAGGGACGAAGCGCAAGUGACGGUACCUGCAGAAGAAGCACCGGCCAACUACGUGCCAGCAGCCGCGGUAAUACGUAGGGUGCGAGCGUUGUCCGGAAUUACUGGGCGUAAAGAGCUCGUAGGCGGUUUGUCGCGUCGUCUGUGAAAACCCGCAGCUCAACUGCGGGCUUGCAGGCGAUACGGGCAGACUUGAGUACUGCAGGGGAGACUGGAAUUCCUGGUGUAGCGGUGAAAUGCGCAGAUAUCAGGAGGAACACCGGUGGCGAAGGCGGGUCUCUGGGCAGUAACUGACGCUGAGGAGCGAAAGCGUGGGUAGCGAACAGGAUUAGAUACCCUGGUAGUCCACGCCGUAAACGGUGGGCGCUAGGUGUGGGUUUCCUU
rnacentral:rRNA from 1 species